AGAGUUUGAUCCUGGCUCAGGAUGAACGCUGGCGGCGUGCCUAACACAUGCAAGUCGAACGGACUUACAUUGAAGCCUAGCGAUAUGUAAGUUAGUGGCGGACGGGUGAGUAACGCGUGGGUAACCUGCCUUGUACUGGGGGACAACAGUUGGAAACGACUGCUAAUACCGCAUAAGCGCACAGCUUCGCAUGAAGCAGUGUGAAAAACUCCGGUGGUACAAGAUGGACCCGCGUCUGAUUAGCUGGUUGGUGAGGUAACGGCCCACCAAGGCGACGAUCAGUAGCCGGCCUGAGAGGGUGAACGGCCACAUUGGGACUGAGACACGGCCCAAACUCCUACGGGAGGCAGCAGUGGGGAAUAUUGCACAAUGGGGGAAACCCUGAUGCAGCAACGCCGCGUGAGUGAAGAAGUAUUUCGGUAUGUAAAGCUCUAUCAGCAGGGAAGAAAAUGACGGUACCUGACUAAGAAGCCCCGGCUAACUACGUGCCAGCAGCCGCGGUAAUACGUAGGGGGCAAGCGUUAUCCGGAUUUACUGGGUGUAAAGGGAGCGUAGACGGUUUUGCAAGUCUGAAGUGAAAGCCCGGGGCUCAACCCCGGGACUGCAUUGGAAACUGUCAAUCUGGAGUACCGGAGAGGUAAGCGGAAUUCCUAGUGUAGCGGUGAAAUGCGUAGAUAUUAGGAGGAACACCAGUGGCGAAGGCGGCUUACUGGGCUUUAACUGACGCUGAGGCUCGAAAGCGUGGGGAGCAAACAGGAUUAGAUACCCUGGUAGUCCACGCUGUAAACGAUGAAUACUAGGUGUGGGAGGACUGACCCCUUCCGUGCCGCAGUUAACACAAUAAGUAAUCCACCUGGGGAGUACGACCGCAAGGUUGAAACUCAAAGGAAUUGACGGGGGCCCGCACAAGCGGUGGAGCAUGU
rnacentral:rRNA from 1 species